UUCGAUUUCUGAUCUGAGGUAAAGUACAUUGCAUUUCUAAUUCCUUGGUUACUUAAUCUUUUAAAGUAAUGCAUUGGUUUGCAGGGGGUAAAAGCUUUAGUAAUCAUUUUUUUUCCCUCUCAUAGCAGAGCCCAGUGAACAUCCUUGUAGCCUCUGGUUAGAGUUCACCCUCUAGUGGUGAAAUCCAACACCUGCAGGUUAUCUUGACUGAGCUGACAUGUAAGGUAAAGUGAAGAAAUUAUACACAGCCCUUAAGAAGGUGAAAACUCAAACUUACUUCUUUACUUAAGCUACAUUUAAAUUAUAGAUGAAAAAUUACACUUGAUGAAUGUAUUGACUUAUCUGGUUUUAUGCCUUUAUUCAUACAGGAUGGGACUGUGGAUGGAAGAGACUG